AAAAGAAAAAGAGAGGCACGAACCACCACUCUCUCUCUCUCUCUCUCUCUCUCUCUCUCUCUCUCUCCUCACACUCACCUACAAUUACUCACUCACUCACAUCUCUCUCUACACUCGGACUCUCUCUAAAAAAGAAUUUAAAAAAGAGCAAAAAGAAAAGGAGGAACUACUGUUCCUCUUCUUGAAUCCAUCCGCCGUCAUACUCCACCACCGUCACAACCCAAAACAAUCGUUCAUCACCAUCAAAUCUACCGCGCCUCAUACACCAUAACCACCGUUAAACCAUGAAACAUUUCCUUCGACAAACUCUCCAACUACUCUCUCACACUCACCGAAAACUCUCCCUCACCUCACCUAUCUUCUCUUAAUCUCUGUAGAAAAAAAGGAGAAAAAACGAGAAAAGAAAAAGAAAUUGGGAAAAACUCUUCCUCUUCUUCGAAUCUCACAAGCCACUACCCCAUCGCCUCCAUUGCCUCCAACCGACGCCAUUACUUCCAUCACAGACCACCGCUCCACCUCAACAACCUUCAUCAAACCCAUACUCCCUCCAAAUCACCAAAUAACCAAACCAGAUCCAUACGUCUUAAUCCCGCCACCGCAACGUAAAGAUCUUCGAUGGUAUCCGUUCAACAUGCGAUUUCAUAUUUUUGGUUCAAUCGAUAAGAACGGGGUUUGAAUUUAUAGAAAUCAAAUUUAUUUAGUUCCUGUUGUUUUUAAAAUUUUCUAGUUGGUUUUGCUUUACCAUGGUUUGGUUAGUUUUCUCAGAGGUUUAAUUUCAUAAGAUUGCUGCCAUGUUUUAGUGAUAGGCUUGCGUUACGUUCUUGGAGUGCUGAAGUUGCUAACCUUGUGCUUCACUAUGAAUCACCUCCUUCACCACCCUCGCUCCCAACGAACUUUCCAACCCUUCUCGAUUCAGACGCCGUCACAGCACCGUAACCAAACAACAACACCAUUCCGCGAGCUCCUCCUUCCACCUGUCCAAAACUGAGCUCAAAUUGGAAAUCUCCGAUUCCGACUACUUCAAGAAGCUCAACUUACAGUGGCACAAACUCAUCAACAUUGACAAUACAACGACAUUGUAGGUAACGACAUUCUAAGGCCAUAAUUUUAUUAUGUUGGUUAUUUAUUUUACUGUAUAAUUUUAUUUUAUUUUGGAUCUAUGAGGUGUUGCUGUUGUUUCAUGCCAUUUGUUUUUAAUACUAGGAUGAAUAAAUGUUAUGCAUAGUAAGUUUUUUGUCUUAAUUUUCCCUAUGGAUAUUGUUGCCAUCGCCUAUUAAGCACUGGCACUGGGUGCUACAGAGGUUGUUGUUUGUUUAUGAGAUUUAGUACUUGAUUUAACCAAAUGUGGAUCUUAAAUAUAAAGGUGACCUUAGCUAGUACGCCAAAAUUGAAAAUGCACCCUUAUUUUUGUAGUAUAUGAUAGAUAAUUGCUUAUUAAAUAGGACAUUUAUAUGUAGCUUCGAUACUGAGUAUAGGUUAGUAUGCUGACACUAUUUUCUUAUAUUAAUGUAACAUUCUAGAUUUCGGUUCACUCGUGUAGCCAUUGUUGGAAUUUUACUCUUUCCAGUUUUUAUAUUACUCUUGCAAAGAUAUAAACAAUGUUUGUGUUGCUUUUAUUUUAUUCCUGGUGCGUGCAAAAUCCGAUAAAUUAAUGGAUUCGACCUUUUAUGUCGUUAUUCCACCAAAAUUUCAAUAUAUCAAUAGAAUAUUUUUCACCGUGUUUGGAUUUUGUAAAUGACAUUGACCAUGUUGUCAUCUUGCACAAACCGGUUUGAGCACACCGAUUCAAUUAAUCAACUUAAUUAAAUUCUGAUAAAUUAAUAAUUAAAGGUUGACCAGUUUCUUUUCCACUGUCUUUUCAUAAUAAGCAAAUUCGAUUCCACUUCAUGUUAUCAUCAACCCAUAAUCACAAAUAAACCGCACAAUUCUCAAUUCAAAGUUGAGCCCAUUUUUCCAAAACUUUGUAAGUCGAUCGCUUUUAGCAUCGCCGUCAACCUCACAUAGCUUACUCUUGGGCUUUCUUACAAUGAGAACUAUUUGAUUUUAUUCAAUCGAGUAGAAGAACGAUACACUAAAAUAAAAUUCAUUUCACUCAUAAGCACCAAAUUUAAAACCUCGACCCAAUGUCGAGUAUUUUCAUUCGAAUUAAAUUAAAGUACCCAAUCACAAUCAAAUACCAUUUCAUUUGGAAAUGAAAAGGGGGAUGGCUUUGAGUUUUCAAUUCCUCUCCUCGAUUACUUGAAUACGUGUUCUCUUACUCGGUUAGUCAAAUAGUCGUCACUUCCAUCCAUCUAAGCAUAAAAAAAUCGAAUCAUUUUAUAAUAAGAAACGAAAAGGGAGAUGACUUUGAGUCUUCAAUUUUUCUCCUCGAUUAUUUGAAUACAAGUUCUCUUACUUGGUUAGUCAAAUAAUUGUCGUUCCUCUACAAACACAUUUUAUAAUAAGAAACGAAAAGGGAGAUGACUUUGAGUCUUCAAUUUUUCUCCUCGAUUAUUUGAAUACAAGUUCUCUUACUUGGUUAGUCAAAUAAUUGUCGUUCCUCUACAAACUUCCAAACCUCGAUUAAACCAAAACACUUUCAUAAUGAGCUAAAUUAAAAGGGAGAUGACUUUGAGUUUUCAACUUCUCUCCCCAAUUGUUUGAAUACGAGUUCUCUUACUCGGUUAGUCAAACAACUGUCAUUUUUCCACAAACAUAUAACUUAAUCAAAUCAUUUUCAUAACAAACUGUAUGAAAAGGAAGAUGGUCUUGAGUUUUCAAUUCCUCUUCUCAAAUGCUUGGAUAUGAGUUGUCUUACUCAGUCAUUCAAGUACUUGUCGUUCAUUCUAAAAUACAUCAACCAUACGCAAACCUAUUUUCAUAAUCGCUCAGAUGAAAAAGAAAGUGGUCUAGAGUAUUCUAUUCUGUUUCCCGAUUAUUAGGAUACGAGUUAUCUUACUUGAUUAUCCGAGUAUUCGUGAUCCAGUCAAAAUACCUUAAUUAUUACUAAAACCUUUUAUAGUUAAAGAGGAAAAAGAAAGUGGUCUAGAGUUUUCUAUUCCCUUUCCCGAUUAUUAGGAUACGAGUUGUCUUACUCGGCCAUCCGAGUAAUCGUCAUCCAAUCAAAAAUACCUUGACACAUCCAACCUAUAUUUUCUCGCCCCCGUGCGAUCAAAACAAACCAAACAAAACAUCAAACACAUUAAUUCAACUUGUCACCCCGUGUGACCAAAACCAACAAACUCUACUCAAAAGAACACUGUUAAUCCUUUCUAAUGCGCACAACAAACUAGUGCUAGAGCCUCCCCCGAGAGUAGACAAGCCAACGUUUAGUCGUUAGAACGCUGACUUACACAUUCGUUCAUCAAACAAAACUCACAAAAUAUUCAUAGUAUCCCGAACUACGAAUGCUCUUAUUUCCUUAUUGCACCAUAAGGAUACAUAGGCAGGAGAUUGUUGUAUCUUCGUGAGCACACUAAUAAAAAAAACCUCUCAUUUCCCCUUCCUGAGGUCUUCAUCCAUAUCUAUUAUCAACUCUAAUUACUCGAAGAAAACAAACAACAUUCAGUUAACACUCAAAUCGCGAAAUUGAAGUAAAAGGUUCCCGUUGAGUACAACGGACGUGAGGGGUGCUAAUACCUUCCCCUUGCGUAAUCCACUCCUGAACCCGAAUAUGGUUGCGACGACCAUUAUUCCAUUUUCUUAAAGGUUUUCUCGAUAUUUUCCUAUUCCUUCUUUGGAAUGAAUAAAAUUCGGUGGAGACUCUAUUCGAACAUUUUUCCGCAUCCAAUCGCGAGGGAUCGCAUUUUUUUUUCGAGGUGCGACAGACUGGCGACUCUGCUGGGGACCCAUGCUCCAAGCAAGAGAGAGUGAAGCCUAACUUAGUUUAAUUUCUGUAUUGGGUGUUAAUCUUGUUUGUUUGUUUAUUACCUUUAGUCUAUCAUUAUUCUGUUGUAAUUAUUGUAUUGUGGUUUACUUCUUAUGAUACUAUUGGGAGUUCUCUGAUUAUGUGUACUGUGUGAGAUAGACUCUCUACCCGAGCCUGAGAAAAACCAUAAGUUUAAGUUGGUGGUUGCAUAGUGGACGCCCAUAAGGAGUCUUCCUUGUUUGGAAGAUGCGAAGACUCCGCCUAGAGGAGAUUCUCUUGAGAUACUAUUGUCCGACGAGCCUUCGUCACGACGAUGGUGUUUCAAGUUGGAUCAAUGACUCUAGGGACAUUUUAACCCACUAUCUGACGGUUAUGUAGUAUUAACCUACGAAGUUUCACACUUGUUGGGUUAAUACGAAAACCCCAAUCAGGUGAGAUCCCUUUGACGUAUUAUUACCUUACAGUAAUAUUUCCAACCUCGAUCUAUGACUCUGAGAACCUUAUUAGAACCUUGGACUCAAGAGUCGCAUAGUAGAAUCCCCAUGGAAUCUUCCUUGUUGGGACAAUACGAAGACCUCUCCUAAGAUGAGACUAUCUUAGGGGUAUUACUGUCCGACGAGUCUUCAUCACGGUAGUGAUGCUCUCGACGAGAAUCGAUGACUCUGGGAACCUAUUAACCUUAGGACUUACCCUUGGGAAUUUCAGUAAUCAGAGAAACCUAUACUUCCUCCUGUUAUCCUGAUGUACACGACGUGUGAAUGAUCUUGAGUAUUGGCAUUCCUUUGCGAAAAAUGGCAAAAAUUCAUGCAUUUGCAUAUCAUAAACAUGCAUUGCAUAUCAUCUUCCAGAGACAAAAACUUACACCAUAUUCUACCCUUUGUCCAGUAACACUGACUACUCGACACCGGUACGAGACACGCUGCAACUACAGGAUGACACUCGAACAACUUGGAGCAAACCAGGUUUCAAUGAGGACAGACAUCGACUCCAUGCAAGCGAAGAUGGACCGUUUACUUGAAACUCUAUUGCUCCUAGCCCAGAAGGAAAAGGAUGCCGAGACUAGCGCCGAAGCCAGAAAAGUUGCCGCUCAGUUUGGAUCACCAUCGCUUAGCAUCCUUGGAGUGACUGACCUUGAUGGUAACCUUGCCCAUCCUAAAGAAGGACCCAUCCCUAUUCAUGUUCCCAUGGUCAAUAUAAACCCCCAUGAGCCUUCCGCUACAACUGCUCGACAUGGAUCCAUGAUGGGUGAUGAAGAUCCAUAUGACGCUUUCUUCAUGCCAUAACCCACCAAACCUGCUGUUGGAAGUCUCCUAGACCCAGCUGUUGAGAGACUCCAUGCUCUGGAAGAGAAGUUUAAGUCCUUGGAGGUUCACACUACUCCCGAUUUGGACGUUGUUGACAUGUGCUUGGUACCAGGCCCCGUGAUUCCGCAAAAGUUCAAGGUCCCGGACUUUGACAAGUAUAAAGGGAUUAGCUGCCCGAGAACUCAUCUCAGAGCUUAUUGUCGCAAGAUGGCUGCACACAUCAGUAAUGAUCAACUCCUGAUUCAUUACUUCCAAGAUAGCCUCAAUGGGGCAUCCUUGGAGUGGUAUAUGCAGCUAGAGAGAGGACAAGUCCAGUCAUGGAGAGAUCUUGCUGAAGCUUUCCUUAAGCAUUAUCAGUACAACACUGAUCUAGCGCCCAAUCGCACCCAGCUGCAGGACAUGACUCAGCGUAAUAACGAGUCAUUCAAGGAAUACACACAACGUUGGAGAGAGCUAGCACCUCGUGUCCAACCUCCUCUUCUUGACAAAGAAAUAAUUGAUAUGUUUAUGGGAAUUUUUCAUACUCAAUAUAUGGAGAAAAUGGUAGGAUCCAGUUUCCCAACUUUUGCUGAGGUUGCCUCUGUGGGAGAAUGAAUCGAGAGCCAGAUCAAGAAGGGAAAUCUACCUUGCGCUGCCAAUGCUUCAAGUGGGAUAAAGAAACCCUAUCCUAAUCUCCCAAAGAAGCCAGAAGGUCAGACCAAUGCCAUAAUGAGAGGAGGAGGAUAUUGGACACAUCCAUAUGCUCCUGUGCCUUACCAUCAGGUUGUCGCUGUCAUCCCAACACCAUAUCAGCCACCAUAUCAACAACCAUAUCAAUAGUCCUAUCAACAACCAGCUUACCAGUAGCCACAUCAUAAUCAACAACAACGUGCUCCACCGCAACGUCAACCUAACCAGCAGGGGGCAAGGAGACCAGAAAGACAUUUUGAUCCUUUGCCAGUACCAUACAGCAAGAUCCUUCCCUACCUGCUAAAGGAUGGAUCAAUUGUUUUGAAGGAGCUAACACCUGCAACUCUUCCCUAUCCACCAGGCUAUGACGCCAAUGCUCACUGCGAGUAUCAUAUGGGUGCCCCAGGGCAUACAGUAGAAAAUUGCAAGGCCUUCAAGCACAAUGUCCAGAACCUGAUUGACAGUAAGGAAGUUACUUUCACGCCAGUUAGGCCAAAUGUUGCAACAAAUCCCAUGCCAGCGUAUGCAGAGUCGAGUGAAGCUCGAAGAUAAAACUUCCCACCGGCCUGGACAAGCAGAGCAAUUCCGCCAGUGGAUCAAAAGAUGAAGGCCCGUUUCUUUGAAUGAAGGCGAUCAUUAUGCCAUUUUUACCCUUUCACAUUCUUGUAAUUUGUUCUUGUUUGUCUAAGUACUGUAUUGCUUUAAACAUUGUUAUUUGUAUUUGGUCUUAUUAAUGGGAUGAUUAUGCAUGAUUUGAAUCAAUCUUUCAUAUUCACUCAUCAAUCACAUUUGCGAAACACAAACACAGACUUUUCCACUUCACCUUCUUUAUCACACUAUUGUUAGUAAAUGUUGGAAGGAGGAUGACGAAAACGAAAUACCCAUAAUUGCUGAUUGUAUGCUUUCGGAUAAAAUCCUACUAAUGAUGUACAUGCAUUGUUUCAAAUCCCCAAAUACUGGAGAGAUAAGGAGUUAAUCCCUAGUCAACCACUUUGAGCCUAGAAGUAGGAGUUUCUUUCAGAUCUACAAACCCUUACGCUUAACCUAGGGUAUGUCGCAUCCGCGAAAAACAACCGGCGGGCAAAAACAAAACAAACAGAGCCGCCACCGUGUGUUAUUUAUCCCAAAGAGGGAAAGGAAAUGCUCGAAGUAAACCUGGAAAAGACAUGGUCUCGUGACCAAAGAGAGAUGGGAUCGGGAGUCGGUUAUGCGAAGGGAAGGUAUUAGCACCCUAGCGCAUCCUGAUAGCGGGAUCACGCUCAGAAAGAAGAAAAGAAGUUGCAACGCUGCCUCAAAAGAAUGCACACACACUGCGAAACAACACAGUGAAGAAACAGGAAACGGGCUCGCUAGGAUAUCGCAUCCUAUGCCUACGUAUCUCAUCUGGAAUGAGAAUCAGAGCUACCGUAGUUCGGCUCACGCACGCCGAAACAAAACACACGCACAGACGCUGAGACGUCAAAUCAAACACGCAAACGGAAACUGAAUGCCAAUCGCUGGACUUACAUCAGACUCCGAACCAACAAACAUACACAGGAAACCAACUGCCAAUCACUGGACUUACGUCGGACUCCACACAAACAAACACCAAUAGGAUACGGACUGCCAAUCGCUGGUCUUACAUCCAUAUCCUAACACACACAAGAAGGUUAACCAACAAAACAAGUUACUAAGGAGUCUGGCACUCGAGCCUAGUAACUUUCAAGCAAACACACGCAAAAAGAAAAAGGGUCCCCGGAGAGAUCUCGUACGACCUCCUGCCUACGUACCUCAUCUGGUAUAAGGAUCAGGGCAAUGUAGUUCCCCUUAACAGGGGAGAAACUUUCUCCUAACCAGAGACUGGGAAAUGACAAACUAGAAGGGAGACUGACUCGAGCCUAAUAGUUAUCAUGUAAUCCACCAUGGUCCUAGGUUGAGGUUUCUANNNNNNNNNNNNNNNNNNNNNNNNNNNNNNNNNNNNNNNNNNNNNNNNNNNNNNNNNNNNNNNNNNNNNAUAAACAAACACAAGCAUUGCCUCUUAAGGAGGGCUUCAGACAGGUGCCUGCCCAAGUAACAGGACAGGUCUUCCAGACUACAUGAAGUCAGAGAGUUAUACCUAUGUGGUUAAGCAACCAAGCAAAAGCAAGUUCAAAUUGAACUUAAGCAACUUAUGUACCUGUUGAAACAUCACACAAGUCAGUACACAACUCAGACAAUCAAACAACAAUCAAUAUCAACAGUCAAACCCAAUAGGCAAAGGCAUAAGCUACAACUCAAACUCAAAUGAGUUAGCAACCCUACAAAACACACAAUGUUAGUAGUCAAAAGCAAGCAUCAAAUGCUCAAGUGAGAUUGCAUCAUGAACCAUAUAACCUGGAUGUUCAACCUGAAAUCAAAGCUCAAAGAUGAGACAAACCACUAGGUCAAGGCCUAGGGUCAAAGAGGGAGAAAAAAUUCAGAACAGAACAUGAAAAUUGACAUGAAUCAACUUCAAUCAAUCAAGAACAUCAUCCAAAAAGUCCCACAUCAAUAUCAUUCACCAAUUUCAUUUCAUGAACAAAAUAUGGAAAGAUAUGCACAUUGUAACCACAUUGAGACAACAGAAUGAACAAAUGCCCAAUAAAUCAAAUAUUAUUCAAUUAAUUUUGGGAAAUAUCAUGGGUAAACAGAACAAACAACAUGAUCAAAACACCAAAAAUCAAGGCAUUUGGACAAGUUUAAGCAUGGUAAUCAAAUUCAUCAAGUCAAAGCAAGCACAAACAAGCUCAAAUGAGGCACCAAAUGCUACAUCAACUUAGCACAAGCCUAAAACAGAAAUGGUAAAAGAUAAAAACCUCAAACCAAAGCCAAAACCACAUUCAACAUGUCUAGAAUUAGUGUGCAAAAUGUCAUAUCCAUAGGAUAAAGCACAAGCAUUUCACAAACAAAUGAAAAUCAUGACUAUUCAAAAGUUCACAAAUGAUCAUCCAGAAUGAAAAAUCUCAAUCAAAUCAGAAAUCAAUCCAAAAAUUCCACAAAAUAUCAUGAGCAUUCACAACAUUCAUAUCAAGCACCAUACAAAAAAUCACAUCAAUUGGAGUUUAUUUGGCAUGGCAAAGAAAUCCAUCAAGUUGAGCAUCACAAGGUGUGACACAAAUUGUCACACCUAACUUAGAAAAACCAUAACUCAGCAAUGGCAAUUGAUAAAAAUGCAAACUCAACACCAAAAUGUCCAGCAAGAUGUCUAGUUUAAGCAUGUAAAAUUUUAUGAGCAUUGGAUAAGAAUUGAGCAUUUCACAAUUGAUAUAUCAAAGCAAUGUCAAAACAUGACAUGUAUACACAAACCCUAGCACAAAAAAUUAUACAACCAUGCAUAAUUUCUGGAAAAAUAAUAAAAAAAAACUAGACACAAAAUGUGACCUAAUGCAAAAACAACCAUAUUUUUUGGAUCAAUAUUUAAUUUGUUUUGAUUUUUUAAAGUUGAAGAAAAAUUAAAAUCAUGUGAAACAAGUAGGAAAAGGCAUGGAAAUAAAUAUGAAAUGAGCACUUGAAAAAAAAUGCCCAGCCAAGAUUCGAACUGCCUGCAUAUUUGAACCUGAAUUGGCGCGCUACAUGGCAAAUCCAUGCAGCCAAUCAGCGCCUUGCCCUAGCGCAUGCCUAUGGCAACGAUUUUGAACCGUGGCCAAAAAGUGUCUUCAUCUUCUUCAGCAAAGCACGCAUGCAUGAACAGUACAAGUUCAACAUCAUCAUGAACAAUAUUCUCAGUUUUUGAAAUUAAGCACAUGUAUAGCUAGGUCUUUCAAUGUAUAACAACAAUCCACAAUUAAUUUAACCAAAAACAUCAUGAACAAUGAGAAUCAAUCAACUUAAGUUUCAUGCAUAGAACUUUAAAUCACCACAACUCACUCAAUAAUGCACGGUUUUCAGUGGUUCAAAGCUCAGCAUGCUCACACAAACAAGAUCUACAAGUCUAGCACAACAAUUUCAAGAAAAGAGAGACUCGAAAUUUUGACCUCUUGAUGAGCAACACGGUUUUCAGUGGUUCAAAGCUCAGCAUGCUCACACAAACAAGAUCUACAAGUCUAGCACAACAAUUUCAAGAAAAGAGAGACUCGAAAUUUUGACCUCUUGAUGAGCAACUUUCGAUUCGUGUGAUUUCAACGCCUUGCAAUGCUUCCAAUGUGUUCUAGCAAGCUUGUAUAGGUGUAUGGAUGAAGUCUUGAUAUUCAAUUGAGCUUGUUUCAACAGAUUUUGAAUUCCACCAUUGAUGAUCUUCAAGCUUGCAUAGGCUUCAAACUCCAUGAAUUCAUGUGAUUCUUGCUUGCAUCUUGCUCUAUGAUGAUGCUAGAUGAUGAAUUUGGCUAGGAAAAUGCAAAGUGUCUGAAGAAAUUUUGAGAAAAAAGUGAGAGAGAAAUUUGAGAGACUUUGAGAAUUCUAGAUCUAGAAUUGGAAAAUGUGAAAAUUCUGUUAUGAUUUGUGUUAUAUAUGCUUCACUAAUCAUGAUUAAUUAAAUUAAACCAAGUGCUAAUGAAAAAUGGUUAAUUUGGAGGUGUUUUGCAAAAAUUGGGAUUUCACCCUUAUGCAUGGGAUGCAUGUGAAUAGUGCACGUUUUUGGCCUUGAUUUCACUCAAAAUAAUGUUUUAAGGCCAAUGGUGAUAGUAGCAUGUGCAAAUAAUGCACACAUUUUGAAUUCUAUUUUUCCCUCCAAAAAUGCAUUGAAUUUUCAACUAUUUAUGUGAAUGGAAUGCAUGUCAUGUAAUGCCAAAUUUGGAAACUAGAGGUUAAAAGGAGAAUGUUGCAAAAAGAGCCAUCUCAUUUGGACAUUUGGUGUGAAAGUUAUGCCCCUUUGAAGUUCCAUGUUCAUUUGACCAAGAUUGAUCCAUAUCUCUUCAACCAUACAUGAGAAAUUCAUGAUCUUGGACUUUUUGGAAAUGGGAGAACAAGAUCUACAACUUUCAUUUCACAAAUUCAUUUGAAAGCUUUCUUGAUGAUGUUAUUUGAGGAGAAAACCUUUCCAUUCUUUGGCAAUUUUGAAUUUACAAGUCACUUUGUCUAUUUUUGCGAAAUUUUGGUCCGUGACUUUAUUUUCUUCAAUGUUGAUGUUUGAAAUGUCAAAUGAGACUUGUUUGAACAUGAAUGAAGUAUUUCUAACCACUUCCCACCUCCAAAUCCAACAGUUGACUUGUGGUUGACUUUUUUCAGUUGAUAGAUGACUUGAUCAUGCACAGAUGAAUUUGAGCCUCAAUCCCUUGAUGAAAUGGCUCCAAAAUGAAACCCUAGCUUAUACAAGCUCAAUAAAAUCAUAGGAUGAUCCCCAUCUCAUGAAAGACCUCAUCUCUUUGACAAACCCUGAUUGGCACAAUACAACUGAUUAGGAUUGACCAGAGGUCAAAACCCUAAUCCCAAGGAAUCUGAUCAGGCACAAUGAACCUCUUGGUGAUGAUAAGACCAUGAUGAUGGUGAUGUACCAUUCCAAUCCAAGAUAAUGAUCAAUCUCCUUGAGGAACCAAUAAACCCUAAUUGAAGCACAAACCCUCAGAUGGCUAGUGAUCAAUUCAUUAAGACUCUCAGGCUUGAAUCUUUUAACCUCUCUAUCUUCUGAGAAAGACUUAGGAGGAUGACUUGCUCAAUGUUUCCACAUGAUAUGCAAUAUGCAAUGACUAAUGCCCUAAAGAUGAAAAUGCAAUAUGCAAAGCUAGUCCCAAAAGAGGAGGGAAAAUUUUGAGGUGUUGCAUAAUUGCUGAUUGUAUGCUUUCGGAUAAAAUCCUACUAAUGAUGUACAUGCAUUGUUUCAAAUCCCCAAACACUAGAGAGAUAAGGAGUUAAUCCCUAGUCAACCACUUUGAGCCUAGAAGUAGGAGUUUCUUUCAGAUCUACAAACCCUUACGCUUAACCUAGGGUAGGGUAGUGUUCAGUUAACCUGACUACACAUUCGAAUUACAAGAUGAAAUAUUCCAUACAAGGAUCAAUCACAUGAUAUUUUUCGCACACAUCCUGAAGUGUCGAAGGAACUAUACAAAUCCAAAUUUUAUGACAGUUGUUCUUCAUUGACCAAUGACUUGGCAGUCACAAUUUUCAAAAAAAUCAAAUCAAAAAAGCCCGCUAAGUCCAACACCCUAAAAGGAGACUUAGGCAAAAACUGGGGCAAUCCCGAUGGAUUAAAGCUUCAAAAGGCGGUCCAUGCAAAAUUAGGGAUCAAAGCAAAAAUCGAGAGAGGCCAUGAAAGUCCUCAACAAAGAAAAACAAUAACCAGUGACCACCAUACCCAAGUCAAAAGGUCGCCAACAUCCAUGAAGAGAAAAAAUAGGAUGACUGUCAAGGGAUUGUACACUGCUGAACUCUCGCAAAAGUAAGUGUGUGCCGAAUUAACUGAACGUAGGAUUGGAGAUCAUUGUGAAAAAGGGGUGGGUUAAAAUAAACUUUGAGCCUUAUAUCCUUUUGUUUCAAAAAACCAUGAACCAAGCCACGUUACAACCCUCAAAAGACCUAAUUGAAGUAGGGUUUAUUCUGAAAGCAUACUACAACAAGGUUGCGUAAACUGACUCCUAGAGAUUUGCUAAUAUUCUAUUCUCACUAUAUCACUCACACGCCAGCUAAAAUCAACACCGUGUUUGGACACAUGGUCCACUCGUCACACACUACCACAAUACUCCCAAGUGAAUGAUUGUUUUUCAAAACUUACAUAACUAUUGCAUUAACAUCACCAUUUCUUGGAUAUGAGAUGUCGAAAUUCUGGUAUCAGAUAUGAGAUGUCAAAGGUAAUGUCACGACACUAAUAUCUGAACAAUACGAACAGGAUAAAAGAUAAAGAACAGUAAUGCAAGAGACACAAGCAAUUGUUAACCCAGUUUGGUGCAAACUCACCUACGUCUGGGGGCUACCAAGCCAGGAAGGAAAUCCACUAAACAAAAUCAGUUCAAAGACUCUCAGUAAACAACUUCAAGUUACAGCCUUUUCACCUAAUCUCUACCCGUGUGACUUCUACCUAAGAACUCUUAGAUAUGAGAUCCUACUCACUCCCCCUCAAUCACAACAGUGAUAUAAAACAAGAAUUACAAUGAAAAGAAGACACUCUUCAAAGAAUCACCUAAUCUCUACCCGUGUGACUUCUACCUAAGAACUCUUAGAUAUGAGAUCCUACUCACUCCCCCUCAAUCACAACAGUGAUAUAAAACAAGAAUUACAAUGAAAAGAAGACACUCUUCAAAGAGACAUACUUGAUCUUACUUAAAAGCUUCAAUCAAGUAAACACACACUCAUGCUUCAAAUCUUAUAGUGGACAAAUUAUAACUCAAAAAUCAGUCCAAUUCAAUCAUCUAUGGAUGAAUGAAUGACUUACAAUACACACGACCACACAAGACUAAAACCCUUAUUCUCUCUCAAUUUUUCGUUCGUUAUUUCUUGUGUAUAAAACCAAGUUUUCCAUGCCCUAUUUAUAGAAUCGUUUGGCUGGGCUUGGACAUCAUAAAACCCUAAAACUAUUUUCCAUUCAUAUCUUCUCAUGAUAGCUGAUUAUAUCUUGUUGGAAAAUAAGUCAAUCUAGUUGUAAUUACUGAUUGAGAGCAUGUUUAAUCAUCUCUUCAAUCAUACAUAGAUUAGCAUUAAAAACACAAUCACACAAUACAUAACAUUAAGACUGAAUGUUCUGUAUACAGAUGUCAUGACAUCGGGUCUGACAUCUCAGUAAAAUCCUGCAUAUUCACAUUUUAAACAUCCUGCAGGUACAUGUUAUCUUAUGUCAAGACAACACUUGUGACAUCACUGACAUCUCAGUAAAAUCCUGCAUAUUCACAUUUUAAACAUCCUGCAGGUACAUGUUAUCUUAUGUCAAGACAACACUUGUGACAUCUUGUGAACACUCUAGGUUUUACCAAAAUUGCUGCCAACAUAUAGAACCAACAAACUCCCCCUUUGGCAAAUUUUGGCUAAAACAUACAUCAGUCCAUUUGUUCACAAGAGUACAAAAAAACAUAUCAACAGUUUAACAGCAGAAGUAAUAAACCACACAUUUACUAGCUAUCAUAGCAACUAGUAAACACACAUAACACAUAUAUGUGCUUCUUCUCCCCCUCAGUCUGUUCAACACAGACAUCUCCUUCAACAACACCUGUAACAUCCAUCACUCCAUCUGACAUCUCCUUCAACAUCACCUAUACAACACAGAACAUCAUUAUGUUCAACAUCAGCUGUCAUCUGUUUAUAGCCUAGCUACUUCAUAGCACAUAUUAACUGCAGCUCUCCUCUACAGCUCUCCCUUUAGCUACUACUUCUCCCCCUUUUUAGUCAAAAUAGACCAAAGAGACCAAUGAGACAAAAUAAAUGUCUAUUAGUCCAACAGAGAAUGUCACAUAGAAUAUUAUAACAUAUAGAAUGUUAAAACAUAUUGCCAGGUGUUACAGAACCAUAAUUAUACACAGCUAUAUCAGCUGAGAUAAAAAGAAAUCCAAAGAACCCAAAAAUUACAUCAUGGCAUCAAAACAAGACUGCCAGAAAAAACAUCAAACAACACAUCAUCAUAACAGGGGGAACCAUCCUCACCACAACUCAGUCUGAGGAUCUAGCAUCUUCAUCAGCUUCAGAUCCAGAACUGUCACUUGAUUUAUCUUGAGAUUCAGACCUCUCACUUGAGACGUGGGCAUCUGUAUCCUUGGCUUGACCAAUAUUAUCCAUGUCUCCUUGCUCCAAGCUAUUAAUCAGAACCUCCGGAGCUUCUUUCCUAGCUUUAGCCACCCUAAUCCCAGUCUCCAAUUCCUUAUAGGUCUCUUUCAGUUCAGCAAUCAGGCCACCUUGAGAGGUUGGCUUCUUCAUAGCAGAUGUCAUGACAAUGUCAUUGACUUGACUGCCUUUAAAUAACUUGUAAUGAACUGACAAUGGAGGUUUUCUUCUACUAGGGAUAUCACUUGUGCUCAGUAUUCCAGGUUGUUGGCUUAGGAUUAUCCCACAAAUUAUUGAGGGAAACGCAAUGGGCAGCUUCACUGCUUUUGUGGAAGCAUGUUUGACAAUUUGUUCAAACAUGAACCUUCCAUGAUCAAAAUUAAGCUUGGUUCCAAUAGCAAAUAUGAUCCUCCCAAGAGCAUUAGAGAUUAUAGAGAUAUGGUUUGUUGGUACCCAGUUUGUUGACCCUAUCUUAUGCAAGAUAACAUAUUUCACAGUUAAUUUACCAGCAGAGAGAUACUUUUUUCUUGGCCACUCCUUGACCUGUCCAGCAGUUAUCGUCCUACAGACCUCAUUGUCUGUGGCCUCUAAUUCAACAACACCUUCUGUUCCUCUUCCUAGAAGCUUAUUGAUCACAGUAGGAGAAAACUUCACACACUUUCCUCUAACAAACACCUUGUAAAACUCUUUGUUGUUCUUGUCAGCAAUGUCCUCAGGGAUGUUCACCACAAACUCUUUAACAAGACCUUUAAAACAUUGAGAUAACCCACUAACUGUUUUCAUUAAACCAGCAGACUUGAUCAGGUCCAUGACCUCCUUAACUUCCACAACAUCCUUUCCCAGUUUUCUUUCCACAGCUACUCUCCUUUGGAUUACAAAUUUCCACUUGGCUGCACCAUCUUCCAGAUGGAAGGAAAUGUUAUCCAAAUGCACAGCAGCAACCUUAGCAGGGGAUUUUCUAACAUUUGACCUUUUGACAGGAGAGAUGUCUAGGACAUUAUCUUCAACAUCUUCCUCUGAAUCAGAAAUUUCUCUUACCUUUCUCUUCUUUACCUCCACUUUACUCCAAGACUUUGAAGGGCCUACAGCAGUAGCCUUCUUACCAGUUUUGGCUGUCAUCAUCUCAGCCACAGACCUACCCUUUCUGGUCUUCAUCCUUUUAGCAACACUUGGCUUCAAGUGAUGAAGCAAGCUAUCAUCUUCCACGUCUGAGCUUUCAUCGUCCAAGUCAAUCACCUUCUUACCAGAGUCAUGCUUCUGAGAAGCAUCUACAGAUUUCUUACUAGGCAAGGUUUACCCUAAAGAACACAGUCCUUCUGCAGCAAUAUCUUUCUCAAACCUAGAUGAGUCAUCAUCUUUCUCAUUGUGAGGUUCAACCUCAGGAGAAGGGUCCCUUCUAGACAGAGGACUAGACACUCCCUUUACCGAGUGUUCUUCAUUUAGGAUCCUCGAGACAAGAUUUCUAAUGACACGAUCAGUAUGAUACAUGUCAUCUUUAGAGGUAGGGUUAUCAGAACUGUUACCUUGAGUAUAUCCAGUAGUGGAGGAUGGACCAGGAGCGUCGCUUGGGAUGACUGAUAGGGGAAUCACUUCCAAAAUGUCCUCAUAAAGAAAAUCUAUGGAUGGUGUUCUUGCUUUGUGUACAAGUUUGGUGUUUUUAGAACUAGAAGAUGAAGGAUGUUGUGACAUCUUGUUGAGCUUGUGAAAGAAUUUUUGUUGCCCUAGUAGAGAUGGUCGAUAAAAUUUGAGGAAGAUGGAAGUGGUUGAGCUGAGGUUGCGUGUGAAAAUGCUAUAGAUGAUAGUUUAUAUACUAGGUAAUGAUUUACCAUAAAUGAGGCCCUUUCUUUUAAGUGGGAAGAUAAUAUUCUUAUUACCUUUUCCACUCCAAAUUAAUUGCUAUAAAUUCUCACGGAUACAAAUCCCUAAUUUCCCUCUUAAACAUUCAAAUUGAUUAGCAUCCAAAGCCUUUGUAAAUAUGUCAGCUAAUUGCAUUUCAGUAGUAACAUGCUCCAGGGCUAUGAUUUUCUCUUCCACUAGAUUGAUUAGCAUCCAAAGCCUUUGUAAAUAUGUCAGCUAAUUGCAUUUCAGUAGUAACAUGCUCCAGGGCUAUGAUUUUCUCUUCCACUAGUUCUCUAAUAAAGUGAUGACGAAUAUCAAUGUGUUUUAUCCUGCUGUGCUGAAUAGGAUUCUUAGAAAUAUUUAUAGCACUUAGGUUGUCACAGUACAAUGUCAUGACAUCUUGUGUGACAUUGUAUUCAGUCAACAUUUGUUUCAUCCAAACCAGUUGAGAACAACUACUCCCAACUGCUAUGUAUUCAGCUUCAGCAAUGGAUAGGGACACACAAUUUUGUUUCUUACUAAACCAUGAUAUUAAGUUGUUCCCCAAGAAGUAACAUCCUCCUGAUGUGCUUUUUCUAUCAUCAGCACUUCCAGCCCAGUCAGCAUCACAAUAUCCAGUCAGCAUAGAUCCAGAUCCAUGAGUAUAUAAUAUCCCAUAGUCACCGGUGCCAUUGACAUAUUUCAGUAUCCUCUUCACUUGGUUUAUGUGACUGACUUUUAGUUCAACUUGAUAUCUAGGACAAACACCUACAACAAAAGCAAUGUCAGGUCUGCUUGCUGUGAGAUAUAGCAAACUUCCUAUCAUGCUUCUGUAGAGACUUUGAUCUACACUAACACCAUUUUCAUCUUUGGAGACUUUCAGAUGUGUAGGAGCAGGUGUUCUUUUAUGACUUGCAUUCUCCAUGCCAAACUUCUUAACAAUGUUUUUGGCAUAUUUGCUUUGAGAUAGAAAGAUAGAAUCUUCCAUCUGCUUGACUUGUAGCCCAAGAAAAUAGGUCAGCUCUCCAACAAGGCUCAUCUCAAAUUCAGACUACAUUUAUUUAACAAAAUGUUCGACCAUCUGAUCUGACAUCCCACCAAACACAAUAUCAUCCACAUAUAUUUGAGCCACCAUGAGUUUUCCUCCUUCAUUCUUAACAAAUAAGGUUUUGUCAAUACCUCCCUUCCUGUAUCCAUUGUUAGUGAGGAACACUGUGAGUCUAUCAUACCAAGCCCUAGGAGCUUGUUUCAAGCCAUAGAGGGCUUUCCUCAACUUGUACACAUGCUUUGGAUAUGUGAAUCCUUUAGGUUGUUCAACAUAUACUUCCUCAUUUAAGUAGCCAUUCAAGAAGGCACUUUUUACAUCCAUUUGAAACAGUUUGAACUUCAGAAUACAUGUCACUCCAAGCAAUAGUCUAAUGGACUCAAGGCGAGCUACAGGGGCAAAUGUUUCAUCAAAAUCCACUCCUUCAACUUGAGUGUAUCCUUGUGCUACUAAUCUUUCUUUAUUUUUAGUAACCACCCCUUGUUCAUCAGAUUUAUUCUUAUACACCCACUUUGUUCCUAUGACAUUUAUUCCUUCCGGUCUUGGAACCAGUUCCCACACUUCAUUUCUCUUGAAUUGGCCUAACUCUUCAUGCAUGGCAUUGAUCCAGAACUCAUCAGUCAAGGCUUCCUUGACAUUCCUAGGCUCAAUCUUGGACACAAAACACCCAUGUGAGAUCACUUCCCUGACUAAGUUGUGACGCCCUUUACUUUGGGUCUUAUAUGAGAUCUUUAUGGAUGAUCCUUCUGAAGUUCCUGAGGGGGGUCCCUUGUUGAUUUGUGUCAGUUCAGGUUCGCUUGAGAGGUUCAUCUAUUAUUUUUUCGUGGUAAUCAGCUGGGCAUCAUUUUAGAAGAUGUCUCAACAUCGUCCUGUAAUCAUCAGUUGUUGAUUCAUCACUCACAACAUUGAUAGAUUCCAUCAUUACUUUUGUUCUGGAAUUAAAGACUCUAUAUGCUCUGUUGUUUGUUGAGUAGCCCAGAAAUAUUCCUUCAUCACUUUUGGGAUCCAUCUUCCUUCUUUGUUCAUGAUCAGUCAAGAUAUAACAUUUACUACCAAACACAUGGAAGUAUUUGACUGUAGGUCUUAUCCCUUUCCAGACUUCAUAUAAGGUAGUAGGAGUCCCUUUCUUCAAGGUUACUCUGUUGUGAACAUAGCAGGUUGUGUUCAUAGCUUCAGCCUAGAAGUGGUAGGGAAAUUUCUUGGCAUGAAUCACAGCUCUGGCUGAUUCUUGGAGAGUUCUAUUUUUCCUUUCUACCACACCAUUUUGAUGGGGAGUAAUGGGAGAUGAGAACUCAUGGCUAAUUCCUUCUGAUGCACAGAAUUCAGCAAAUUUGUUGUUUUCAAAUUCCUUCCCAUGAUCACUUAUGAUUUUGAUAACUUGACUUUCCUUUUCUCUUUGAAGUCUUAGACAAAGAUCUUUGAAGAUUUCAAAUACAUCAGACUUUUCUCUUAUAAAAUUGACCCAGGUGUAUCUGGAGAAGUCAUCCACCACUACAUAGGCAUACUUCUUCCCACCAAGGAUUUCCACCUGCAUGGGUCCCAUCAAAUCCAUAUGGAGGAGUUCCAGCACUCUGGAAGUGGUGUCAUGUUUAAGCUUCUGGUGUGACAUCUUUGUCUGUUUUCCAAUCUGACAUUCCCCACAAACUCUUCCUUCAUCAAUCUUCAAAAUGGGAAUUCCUCUAACAGCUUCAACAGAUAUAAUCCUCUUCAUUCCUUUAAGAUGCACAUGGCCCAAUCUUUGAUGCCAUAUCUUCACUUCUUCUUCUUUGGCUAGAGUACACAUUGAGGAAUAACCAGUUUCUUGAGAACUCCAUAUAUAGAAGUUGUCUUUAGACCUAACUCCUUUCAUGAUCACUUCAUUUUCUUUAUUAGUAAUCAGACAUUCAGUUUUUAUGAAGUUUACAGUUAGACCUUGGUCACAUAGUUGACUGAUGCUUAUUAGGUUUGCAGUCAGUCCCUUAACAAGUAGGACAUUGUCAAGAUUAGGAACUCCAGGGCAGUUAAGCUUACCAAUCCCCUUGAUCUCACCCUUUUCUCCAUCACCAAAGGUUACAUAGCUGGUGGCAUGAGGAUGAAGGCCAGUUAGCAGGUUUUUGUUUCCAAUCAUGUGUCUGGAGCACCCACUGUUAAAAUACUAGUCUUCUUUGGCUGAAACUCUGAAGGAAGUGUGAGCUAUCAAGUUUGUAACAACAGUCCUAGGAACCCAUUGUUUUUUGUUGACAGGUAUGUGAUGUUUGGGUCUAGGUUGAUGAUGAGAAGGACUAGGAUAGCCAUAUAACUUAUAGCAGAAUGGUUUUAUGUGGCCAAAUUUUCCACAGUAAUGACAUCUCCAUCUUUGAUAUUUCCCUUUCUGCUGUCUUCCUUUAUGAUGUUGUGACAUCUCUGGUUUGCUACCAGUGUGACUGCACCUAGGUUUAGAUUUAGGUUUGCUACCAGUGUGACUGCAUUCAGGUUUAGAUUCAUUGAACCUAAUGCUAGACUUGUCUCCUGCCAUUUGUCCAGUCUGGAGAAUUUUGUCUAAGGUGUCAGUUCCAUUGUUCAGCAUUCUGACAUACUUUGUCAUCUCAUCCAGUUUAGAAUUCAAGAAUACUGCUUCAGUUUUUAACUUAGAGAUGGUUUCCAAAUGUUCUGCCUUUUCAUUCUCCAACUGUGCUAUCACUUUCUUCUGACUUUCAACUUGUUGACACACUUCUUCACUUCUGUGACACAGCUUUCUGUAGGUAGUCGCUAACUCAUCAAAGGUCACUUCAUCAUCACUUGAGUCUUCAUCAGAACCCCAUCUUCCAGUCAAGGCAGUCACAAGAUUUGCAGACUCUUAUGUUUCACUUUCAUCAGACCAAGUAGAAGUAAGACUCUUCUUCUGUUUCUUGAGGUAGGUUCCACAUUCAGUUCUAAUGUGUCCAUACCCAUCAUAUUCAUGGCACUGAACUCCUUUUCCUUCUUUGGGCUUUUCAUCUGAUCUAGUUCUUCUUCCAGAAUUGUUGGAUUUACUGAUGUCAGAUGAGAUAUUCUUGACAUUAGCCUUAGACCUUACAUCCAUCUUUUUUAGAAGUCUGUUGAACUGUCUUCCCAACAAUGCUACAUCAUAAUUUCCAGAUCUUCAUCAAUAUCUUGACCACUUUCCUCCUCUUUCUCCUCAGUGUUUUACAUGAAGGCUAUGCUUUUGACUUUCUUUUCAGAUCCAUCACACAUUCCCAUCUCAAAUGUUUUGAGGGAUCCAAUUAGCUCAUUAACUCUCAUAUUGGAAAUGUCUUGAGACUCUUCUAUGGUUGUCACUUUCAUGGCAAAUCUCUUAGGAAGUGACCUGAGUAUUUUCCUCACUAGUUUUUCAUCUGCCAUCUUCUCACCCAGGGCUCCUGAGGCAUUAGCAAUUUCAAGUAUAUUCAUAUGAAAUUCAUAAAUAUUUUCAUCUUCUUUCAUUCUUAAGUUUUCAAACUUGGUAGUGAGCAGCUGCAGUCUAGAGAUCUUCACUCUAGAGGUGCCUUCAUGAGUGGUUUUGAGAAUGUUCCAAGCAUCUUUAGCCACCUCACAGUUGUUUAUCAAUCUGAAGAUAUUUGUAUCUACUCCAUUGAAUAUAGAAUUCAAUUCUUUAGAGUUCCCAAGCUCUAGAUCAUCCUCCUCUUUGGUCCAUUGUUCCUCAGCCUUCUUAUCAGUUGUAGCUUCUCCAUCCUUAGUAAUCACUGGAUGUUCCCAGCCUGUUAAAACAGCCUUCCAAGCCUUGUUAUCCAGAGAUUUUAGGAAGGCUACAAUUAGAGGUUUCCAGUAGUCAUAGUUGGAUCCAUCCAGAAUAGGUGGUCUGUGAACAGAUCCUCCGUCUCUAUCCAUAGUACCAGAAAGUAACGUCCUUAGAUCUCACCCAGAACCAGAGCAUGAUGCCUGCUUUGAUACCAAUUGAAAUUCUGGUAUCAGAUAUGAGAUGUUGAAGGUAAUUUCACGACACUAAUAUCUGAACAAUACAAACAGGAUAACAGAUAAAGAACAGUAAUGCAAGAGACACAAGCAAUUGUUAACCCAGUUCGGUGCAAACUCACCUACGUCUGGGGGCUACCAAGCCAGGAAGGAAAUCCACUAAACAAAAUCAGUUCAAAGACUCUCAGUAAACAACUUCAAGUUACAGUCUUUUCACCUAAUCUCUACCCGUGUGACUUCUACCUAAGAACUCUUAGAUUUGAGAUCCUACUCACUCCCCCUCAAUCACAGCAACGAUAUAAAACAAGAAUUACAAUGAAAAGAAGACACUCUUCAAAGACACAUACUUGAUCUUACUUAAAAGCUUCAAUCAAGUAAACACACACUCAUGCUUCAAAGCUUAAAGUGGACAAAUUACAACUCAAAAAUCAGUUCAAUUCAAUCAUCUAUGGAUGAAUGAAUGGCUUAUAAUACACACGACCACACAAGACUAAAACCCUUAUUCUCUCUCAAUUUUUCGUUCGUUAUUUCUUGUGUAUAAAACCAAGUUUUCCAUGCCCUAUUUAUAGAAUCGUUUGGCUGGGCUUGGACAUCAUAAAACCCUAAAACUAUUUUCCAUUCAUAUCUUCUCAUGACAACUGAUUAUAUCUUGUUGGAAAAUAAGUCAAUCUAGUUGUAAUUACUGAUUGAGAGCGCGUCUAAUCAUCUCUUCAAUCAUACAUAGAUUAGCAUUAAAAAUGCAAUCACACAAUACAUAACAUUCAGACUGAAUGUUCUGUAUACAGAUGUCAUGACAUCGGGUCUGACAUCAGUCAUUUUAGGACGUAUAAGUGUAAAAUUUGUAGGACGUCCUACAUGUUAUCUUAUGUCAAGACAACACUUGUGACAUCUUGUGAACACUCUAGGUUUUACCAAAAUUGCUGCCAACACAUAGAACCAACACAAUAUAAGACAAAUCUCCAAGCAUCAGUGGAUGAGAGAGGAAAAACACUUCGAUACGUAGCCCGUCUGAGGCAAGUGUCUCAAAGGCUAAUCAGGGGAAGAUUGUUGCAAGAGUCAUACGUUGGAGAAAACAGACUCAAGCCAUGAGAUAAUCACUCCUAAAGGUUUCCUUUCAAGGAGGAUUCCUGUGAACACCCUACAGACUGGGGCAAGACAAGUUGCAAGAGGAAAAUUCCCUUCAUAUCUUCAAGCUAGUCAAGCAGAUUGUGUCAGACACUAGUGACUGCUUGAACUCACGAACAAAAACGUCGAAGGUUCAUACCAGUACAACAUCACAUCUUAACGAGAAUCCUAGUGGCACAUCAAAGGCAUGACCAUCAUGCAUUGAUCACGUCGCUAUGCUCAGUUACAGGCUAGCCAGACAUCUCAGAAGAAGAAGCCGAGAUCUUCUCAAAGACAAAUACACAAUAUAUCAACAAGAAAUCAAACUUGGGGCACCAAGAGUAUCCGCAUCUACUGCGUGUUCAUCACAUCAUCAACUACCGAGUGUCGGGAAGUCAGAUUCUCCCACCAAUCAAUAGCUCAAUCCACAUUGAGAAUGACUAGAAAAGACCAAAGUCCUCCUGGCUGGCACUAACACAAAAUCAAAUACAACCAGCACUAGUUUCCAGAAGAUACAUCGCCUUUGAAAAGGGGGGCCAAUCCCUAUCAAACCAAUCAUCAUUUGCAUUCAAACGUGCAUCACAUGUAUCCCAUGUAUCACCUCAUACAUAACACAUACAUAACAUUUAUUCAUAUAGCACAAAUCAAAAUCCAAGGUCUAGUCGUAGGCAUCCAGGCCAACCCUCAGUUGAGUCAUUGUCACUUCCUCUAAGUGAGUUCCUACCCUAUUAUCGGGCGUCCCCCAUUAAGUUACAUCCUUCAACCUUUUGUUGAUAAGGUAUUAUCCUCAGCUAAGUCAAACAUUGUUUCUUUAAACACCUACCUUGUUUCGCGUUGAGCGUCCCUCAAUGAGUUGUUUCCUAUAACCUUUUGUUGAUGAAAAUUACAUCUUUCUAGAGAACAUUUUUCUGCGACCUUUUGUUGUUGAUACCCCAAGCAAGUCUUACCCAGUAGUGUUCCAAUACUACCCAACAAGUCGGGUUUAUCGAGCUUUGUUAGUAGCCUUAUUUUUCUAUUAUUUCUCUCACUAUCAUCCUCUUGGUGAAAGUCCCUUGAUGAAUAAUGAUCAUCGCCCUAUUUACGAUAAUCGUUAUCCUUUUGGUAAUGGUAAAUCCUUGACAUUCGUGAUCUUACCGUCAUCCUUUUGGUGUCGGUGAUCCUUGAAGUUUUGUCCUAACCUUCAUCCUUUUGGUGAAUGGUGCCCUUUGCAAUUAUUAUAGCUUACCGUCAUCCUUUUGGUGUCAGCCAUCCUUGUGGUGACAGGGAUCCUUGUCAUUUUGGUUCAACCAUCACCCUUUUUUGAUGGUGAUCUCGGUUAUUAUGUUUAAUCAUCAUCCUUUUGGUGAUGACGUCCAGUUCAAUCUAAACAUCAUCCUUUUGGUGAUAGAGAUUACGGAGUUUGGUUUAAGCUAUCAUACUUUUGGUGAUGGUGACAUUUGGAAAGUCCAAUCCCACUGUCAUCCUUUUGGUGUCAUCAAUAUUUGAAGUUGUUAUAACUUAUUAUCAUCCUUUUGGUGGUAACAAGUUUCGAAGUUAUGAUCUACCCUUCAUCCUUUUGGUGAUGGUGAUCGUUGAUUCAUUAUCAUCCUUUUGGUGAUAACGAGUCCUGUUGUUUGUAGUACCUUCAUCCUUUUGGUGAUGGUGACUGUCGACUUAUUAUCAUCCUUUUGGUGAUAACAAGUUUUAUUGUUCGAUCCUACCUUCAUCCUUUUGGUGACGGUGAUCAGUAAAGGUUAUCGACAUAUUAUCAUCCUUUUGGUGGUAACGAAUUUGUUGUUUGAUCCUACCUUCAUACUUUUGGUGACGGUGACCAUUUGAGUUAUGGACUCAUUAUCAUCCUUUUGGUGAUAACGGGUUUUUAUUUUAUAUUACCUUCAUCCUUUUGGUGAUGGGGAUCCUUUGAGUUGUGUGACUUAUUAUCAUCCUUUUGGUGGUAACAAGUUGUGUUGUUAAUUUUACCUUCAUCCUUUUGGUGAUGGUUAUUGGUGACUUAUUAUCAUCCUUUUGGUAAUAAUAAGUUUUGAAGUUUUGUUCUCACCUUCAUCCUUUUGGUGAUGGUGAUCAUUUAAGUGGUUAUGACUUACUAUCAUCCUUUUGAUGAUAGCAGGUUUUGUUGUUUGACCUUACCUUCAUCCUUUUGGGGAUGGUGGUCAUUGAAGUUAUUUGACUUAUUAUCAUCCUUUUGGUGAUAACAGGUUUUGUUUUGAUCUUACCUUCAUCCUUUUGGUGAUGGUGAUCAUUUGAGUUAUUGACUUAUUAUCAUCCUUUUGGUGGUAACAAGUUUCGUUUUUGAUCUUACCUUCAUCCUUUUGGUGAUGGUGAUCAUUUAAAUCAUCGACUUAUUAUCAUCCUUUUGGUGGUAACGAGUUUUGUUGUUUAAUCCUACCUUCAUCCUUUUGGUGACGGUGACCAUUUGAGUUAUGGGCUCAUUGUCAUCCUUUUGGUGAUAAUGGGUUUUGUUUUGAUCUUACCCUCAUCCUUUUGGUGAUGGCGAUCAUUAAGUUUAUUUCGGCUUAUUAUCAUCCUUUUGGUGAUAACAAGUUUUGAAGUUCUGUCCUUAUUAUCAUCCUUUUGGUGAUAACAAGUUUUGUUUUUGAUCUUACCUUCAUCCUUUUGGUGAUGGUGAUCAUUUGAGUUGUUGACUUAUUAUCAUCUUUUUGGUGGUAACAAGUUUCGUCUUUUAUCUGACCUUCAUCCUUUUGGUGACGGUGAUCAUUGGUGAUUGUCGACUUAUUAUCAUCCUUUUGGUGGUAACAAGUUUGGUUGUUUAAUUGUACCUUCAUCCUUUUGGUGAUAGUGAUCAUUGAAGUUAUUUGACUUAUUAUCAUCCUUUUGGUGAUAACAAGUUUUGUUUGGUCUUACUUUCAUCCUUUUGAUGAUGGUGAUCAUUGAAGUCAUUUGACUUAUUAUCAUCCUUUUGGUGAUAACAGGUUUUGUUGCUGGAUCUUACCUUCAUCCUUUUGGUGACGGCGAUCUUUGAAGUUGAUGAGUUAACUAUCAUCCUUUUGGUGGUAGCCCUGAUAUUAUACUCUCGGUAAUGGGAAACUUUAUCAGAACGACCAUCAUCCUUUUUGGUGACGGACAUCGUCCUUUUGGUGAUGGAAACCUUUGGAUUGUGUCCAACUUUCAUCCUUUUGGUGAUAGCAAGAUUUGUUGUCGAUAUUACCAUCAUCCUUGUGGUGAUGGCGAUCUUUCUUGUAGCCACUGUAACCAUCAUCCUUUUGGUGAUGACUACCUUUGAAGCUCGGUUUAACCAUUAUCCUUUUGGUGAUGGACCUCAUCCUUUUGGUGAUGAUUCUUUUUAAAGCCCGGUUUAUCCAUCAUCCUUUUGGUGAUGAUGAUCCUGAAAAUCAUGGUGAAUUUCGGUCAUCCUUUUGGUGAUAUCAAUUAAUCCUACUGUCAUCCUUUCGGUGCCAGAAAACCUGUUCAAUUUUAGUCCCACAUUUGUCUUUACAUCAAUAACGACCUUUGCAAAGAUUUAAAUGUCGACUCGAGGGUUGACAUUGAUUUGACAUUCUACCCCUAAUACCUUGGUGUUGUUAGAAUUCAUUGCAUUUUCUUUCUGCAUAUCUCCAUUGCAUUCCAAAGGACAAAAUUUGGGUCUUUUCGUAUUUAAUUACCUUCCACCACGAAUGUAUGAAGACCGUUGUCAUUCUUACCUUCUAGUUCAAGAUAAUUAAAUAGGGGCAGCUGUCAUACCCCAAUUUUGUUCGGGCAUUUAAAUCUUUGUAAAAUUGAUUUCAUUUUUAAUUUGCAUCAUAUACACAGCAUGGCAUGCAUUCCAUCAUGAAUAAAACCUAAAAUAUCAGUUGGAAUAAAUUAUUGAAAAUACAGACAAUCGGUUAAAUAAUUUCUCAAAAACGUGCAAAAAUCAGCGGGUAAAAAGUUUCAAAAUUAAAAUUGCAGACGUCAGUAUUAUUAAUCUACGGUUCACGUAGUUUAACUUGGUGUGCUCGUCAUAUUUUUCAAUGACUGUUUCGGCUGCAUUGUGACCCGCCUGAGCCUUUUAACCGGUGAAAAUUUAUUUCAAAAUUUAAAGAAACGCUGUAUUUUUUCAAUAAGUAUAUUUUAUGCUGAUAAUUUUAGUGUGCCCGAUUUAAUUUUUCGAGCAAAUUUAUAUCCGGCUUCUAUUUAUAAUCGAUCACUAUUUUUGCUAGGUUAAUUAUUCAACUAAAGUAAUUAAAAGUUUAUUUAAAUCAAAACAUUUAUUAGGAAUUUUUAAUAAGAGUAUUUCUUUUAAUAAUAGUAAUUGUUUGAGAUUUAACAUUGGAUUCUUUGUAGUAUUUUUGACAACAUUGGAUUCUUUGUAGUAUUUUUGACAGCUAGCAUUGAAGAAGGAAAAAAGAUCUCUCAUAUCUCUCUCUCUCUCAGCCACGUCACACUCACAACAAAUACUCUUUCUCCCACUAACUCUCUCUCUAAUCUCUCGUACGCAUAAAAAACAGAAGAAAAAAACGAAAAAAGAAAAAGAGAGGCACAAACCACCACUCUCUCUCUCUCCUCACACUCACCUACAAUUACUCACUCACUCACAUCUCUCUCUACACUCAGACUCUCUCUAAAAAAUAAUUAAAAAAAGAGAAAAAAGAAAAGGAGGAAUUACUGUUCCUCUUCUUGAAUCCAUCCGCCGUCAUACUCCCCCACCGUCACAACCCAAAACAACCAUUCAUCACCACCAAAUCUACCGCGUCUCAUACACCAUAACCACCAUUAAACCAUCAAACAUUUGCUUCGACAAAAUCUCCAACUACUCUCUCACACUCACCAAAAACUCUCCCUCGCCUCACCUAUCUUCUGUCAAUCUCUGUAGAAAAAAAAGAGAAAAAACGAGAAAAGAAAAAGAAAUUGGGAAAAACUCUUCCUCUUCUUCGAAUCUCACAAGCCACUACCCCAUCGCCUCCAUUGCCUCCAACCGACGCGGUUACUUCCAUCACAGACCACCGCUCCACCUCAACAACCUUCAUCAAACCCAUACUCCCUCCAAAUCACCAACAACCAAACCAGAUCCAUACGUCUUAAUCCCGCCACCGCAAUGUAAAGAUC
rnacentral:lncRNA from 1 species